GUGCACGCUGGCGGUAGGCCUAACACCUGCAAGUCGCACGGCAGCACAGUAAGAGCUUGCUCUUACGGGUGGCGAGUGGCGGACGGGUGAGGAAUACAUCGGAAUCUACUUUUUCGUGGGGGAUAACGUAGGGAAACUUACGCUAAUACCGCAUACGACCUACGGGUGAAAGCAGGGGAUCUUCGGACCUUGCGCGAUUGAAUGAGCCGAUGUCGGAUUAGCUAGUUGGCGGGGUAAAGGCCCACCAAGGCGACGAUCCGUAGCUGGUCUGAGAGGAUGAUCAGCCACACUGGAACUGAGACACGGUCCAGACUCCUACGGGAGGCAGCAGUGGGGAAUAUUGGACAAUGGGCGCAAGCCUGAUCCAGCCAUACCGCGUGGGUGAAGAGGGCCUUCGGGUUGUAAAGCCCUUUUGUUGGGAAAGAAAAGCAGCAGGUUAAUACCCCGCUGUUCUGACGGUACCCAAAGAAUAAGCACCGGCUAACUUCGUG
rnacentral:rRNA from 1 species